GAUGAACGCUGGCGGCGUGCCUAACACAUACAAGUCGAGCGAUUCUCUUCGGAGAAGAGCGGCGGACGGGUGAGUAACGCGUGGGUAACCUGCCCUGUACACACGGAUAACAUACCGAAAGGUAUGCUAAUACGAGAUAAUAUGCUUUUAUCGCAUGGUAGAAGUAUCAAAGUUUUUGCGGUACAGGAUGGACCCGCGUCUGAUUAGCUAGUUGGUAAGGUAACGGCUUACCAAGGCGACGAUCAGUAGCCGACCUGAGAGGGUGAUCGGCCACAUUGGAACUGAGACACGGUCCAAACUCCUACGGGAGGCAGCAGUGGGGAAUAUUGCACAAUGGGCGAGAGCCUGAUGCAGCAACGCCGCGUGAGCGAUGAAGGCCUUCGGGUCGUAAAGCUCUGUCCUCAAGGAAGAUAAUGACGGUACUUGAGGAGGAAGCCCCGGCUAACUACGUGCCAGCCGCCGCGGUAA
rnacentral:rRNA from 1 species